rnacentral:rRNA from 1 species
AGCAGCCGCGGUAAUUCCAGCUCCAAUAGCGUAUAUUAAAGUUGUUGCAGUUAAAAAGCUCGUAGUUGAAUUUCGGGGUUAAUAGGUUGGUCAUGCCUCUGGUAUGUACUGGUCUCACUGAUUCCUCCUUCCUGAUGAGCCGUAAUGCCAUUAAUUUGGUGUUGCGGGGAAUUUGGACUGUUACUUUGAAAAAAUUAGAGUGUUUAAAGCAAGCUAACGCUUGAAUACAUUAGCAUGGAAUAAUGAAAUAGGACGUUCGAUCCUAUUUUGUUGGUUUCUAGGAUUGACGUAAUGAUUAAUAGGGAUAGUUGGGGGCAUUAGUAUUCAAUUGUCAGAGGUGAAAUUCUUGGAUUUAUUGAAGACUAACUACUGCGAAAGCAUUUGCCAAGGAUGUUUUCAUUAAUCAAGAACGAAAGUUAGGGGAUCGAAGACGAUCAGAUACCGUCGUAGUCUUAACCAUAAACUAUGCCGACUAGGGAUCGGAUGAUGUUAAUUUUUUAAUGACUCA